UUACCACACCUAAAAAACUUUCCACGUGAACCGUAUCAACCCACUUAGUUGGGGGCUAGUCCCGGCGGCUGGCUGUCGAUGUCAAAGUUGACGGCUGCUGCUGUGUGUCGGGCCCUAUCAUGGCGAGCGUUUGGGUCCCUCUCGGGGGAACUGAGCCAGUAGCCCUUAUUUUUUAAACCCAUUCUUGAAUACUGAAUAUACUGUGGGGACGAAAGUCUCUGCUUUUAACUAGAUAGCAACUUUCAGCAGUGGAUGUCUAGGCUCGCACAUCGAUGAAGAACGCUGCGAACUGCGAUACGUAAUGCGAAUUGCAGGAUUCAGUGAGUCAUCGAAAUUUUGAACGCAUAUUGCACUUCCGGGUUAGUCCUGGGAGUAUGCCUGUAUCAGUGUCCGUACAUCAAACUUGGCUCUCUUCCUUCCGUGUAGUCGGUGGAUGGGGACGCCAGACGUGAGGUGUCUUGCGGGUGGUCUUCGGGCUGCCUGCGAGUCCCUUGAAAUGUACUGAACUGUACUUCUCUUUGCUCGAAAAGCGUGACGUUGUUGGUUGUGGAGGCUGCCUGUGUGGCCAGUCGGCGACCGGUUUGUCUGCUGCGGCGUUUAAUGGAGGAGUGUUCGAUUCGCGGUAUGGUUGGCUUCGGCUGAACAAUGCGCUUAUUGGACGUUCUUCCUGCUGUGGCGGUACGGAUCGGUGA
rnacentral:rRNA from 1 species